UACGUAGGGGGCAAGCGUUGUCCGGAAUUAUUGGGCGUAAAGAGCUCGUAGGCGGUCUGUUGCGUCGGCUGUGAAAACCCGGGGCUCAACUCCGGGCCUGCAGCCGAUACGGGCAGACUAGAGUUCGGUAGGGGAGACUGGAAUUCCUGGUGUAGCGGUGAAAUGCGCAGAUAUCAGGAGGAACACCGGUGGCGAAGGCGGGUCUCUGGGCCGAUACUGACGCUGAGGAGCGAAAGCGUGGGGAGCGAACAGG
rnacentral:rRNA from 1 species